rnacentral:rRNA from 1 species
UGCCAGCCGCCGCGGUAAUACGAGGGGUGCUAGCGUUGUCCGGAAUCAUUGGGCGUAAAGGGUCCGUAGGCGGUUUAACAAGUCAAUUGUUAAAGACAUCGGCUUAACCGAUGGAGUGCAGUUGAAACUGUUAGAAUAGAGUUUAGGAGAGGAAAGUGGAAUUUCUGGUGUAGCGGUGACAUGCGUAGAUAUCAGAAGGAACACCAAUGGCGAAGGCAACUUUCUGGCCUAAAACUGACGCUGAGGGACGAAAGCGUGGGGAGCGAACAGGAUUAGAUA